AGUGUCUUUUUUUCCCCCCCAAACUAAUGAUCCUCUUUUCCUUUCAUCAGUGCAUAUAAAGGAAUAAUCUCUAGGCUUUCUUAUUCCCACUAGACUAAGCUAUCUGCCUUCUUAUCGUACUACGUUGGAAGUUUUGUAAACUUUAAAGUGCUAGAUGGCAGGUAUUUUUAUUUUACCAAUCAUUUUUAAUUGAGUAAAGAUUUAGAGGAGUUUGGGCCGGGGUCAAAGGAUGGUCUUGAAUUUCCCAUCACAUGAGUAAAACUUAAUUCUGAAUUUUAAAGUCCUUCAUUAAAUAAGGAAAAACAAAACACAGGAGAAGAGUGGGAGAACAACAGAUUGCAGCCCUUAUCACCCUCUAAGUGAGUAACCAGGUCUUGCUGUCUUUGCACCAGCACCUAUAAAAAGGGAAGCUCAGUGCAUGGCAAGGAGACAAAUAGCCAUUUAUUUCACCACUGCAAGUCGGAGGAUGGCAAGGAGGAUUUGGGUACAGUGAAAUGAGGGUUGUCAGACUAAGAAUGACAAAUGGGAUGCAAUUGUUCUCUAAAGCCUGAGAGAUACGAAGGGACUUCCUUUUCCCCCUCCCCUCAAUCCUCAUUGCUUCCGCCCAGCCGGCAAACAGAGAAGGUGGUUAACAGAGGAAAGCCCCUUGAAUGAGCCCUGACAGCAGUAUAUUCAGAAACUGAUGUCAUUUCCCUAAAUACUGUUUGUAAAAUGGUAAUUAUCUGCCAGGCAAUGACAGCUGGCACUUAGCAUAGAGACAGAGAGAAGCAGAGAGGGAGAGAAUGUGAAGAAAGGGUUCCCUCGUAAUUUAACAAAGGGCUGAAAGAGAAAAAGAAACAUAAUCAGAAAAAUAAAAUGAUUACCAGUGUGUGCUUGGGGGGAAAUUGCUUUGGGCAUUUUUCUUCAGAGAACACAAAACCAAAUUGUAGGGAUGAGGCCAGAGCUCGCUGCUGUACACUUGAAGAGGCAUGGUGCCCGGAUCCCAAAGGAGCAAAGAACUGGAAACUUAAGAGAUAUCCAUCAACUGGAGAAUGGUUGAACAAAAUGCGGUAUAUAAUUAUAAUGGAAAACAUUUGUGCCAGAAGAAAUGACAUACAAGAUGAUCACAAAAAUCCUGGAAAGAUUUAUAUGAAGUGAUGCAAAGUGUGUUUCAUUAUGUCAAAAUCAUAUAUGGUAACAACAAUAAAGUAUGUUGACUAACUGUGAAUCA
rnacentral:lncRNA from 1 species